CCUCUGCAGUCUGUGAUCUACAGUCGUCAUUAAGAAGAUUUCUGCAGCAGAAACUCUCACAUCUCUCUCUCUCUCCGUCUCCAUCACCUGCGUUGUCUGAUGUGAGUCACCUUGCAAAUAUAUGAAUAGUAAAUGCAGGAGAAGUAAUCUGCCGCCUGACGGCUACACGACUGCAUUUGCAUAGCUGCCAUCAGCUCGUACUGAAGCGCUGCAGCUCCUCACACCAGAAUCCGCAAUGACGUGAAUAUAUUUCUCACAUGCCGGCCGUUGUUUCUCUCUCUUCUCUGUGUGUCUGUUCGGCUCCGGUCUGCCUUUGAAUGUGACCAGUUAAAUCCAAACAUACGAUCAUGAAUAAAACAUUCAUAUGUUAAACCGUCUCAGUGGAGGUGAAGAUGAAUUUGUGGCCGUUGAACAACUCUCUUUAAAAAAUCCGCAAUCCACAAUUUGUGAUUCAUUGUGACUCUGGAUUCAUCUGCGCUCUCGUUCACACUCAUUGAGGGGAUUCUGAUGAUCUUCUUCUGUUUGUCUUCACAGAUUGUCAAAGCGCAAAGACGUCUGCAAAAUCACCUGUGGAGAAAAGACCAAAACAGCCUGAAAACACGUCUGGUCUUUAUCUUCAUUCCUCAUCACAAAACAUUUUACAGUUUUUGCAGUGUGAAGAACCUUUCGUAGAAUGAGACGGUUCUGUGGAUGAAACCAUAAACAAAGAGCUUCAUUAUUAUAAAAGAAGAAUGUUCUCUGAUCAUCACCAGUGAGAGUCUUCAUCAGUGAAACACAAACUGCACAUGUGACUCUUUUCAGAUGAUGUGGUUCAUCUUUAUGUUUGGAAUUCUGUGAUUUUGUUCCUGUAAGCUGAUUCUCUGUGUCACAUGACCAGUGACGGAAGCCGUGUGAGUAUUUUUGGAUACUGUGUUUUUUCUUCUUGAAACCCGGUACCACCCGAGACCCCAGCGCAGCGGGUCCAUCUGAGCGUUUGACGUCUGUUUGUCUGUUUUUAGCCGCUCUGGAGGAGAACCUGGCAGCGUGCGGCCGGAGCCGAUGGGUUUUCCUGCUGCAGUCUGUCCUGGUUCUCUCAAAUUAAUCAGAUUUACAGCGCCGGCCAUAUGUCCAGACAGCAUGCACCACGCUCUGGGUGGGAGGACCCCGCCCGUCCUGAUCCCAGAUCAGAUUCACAAACUCAAAGCUGAACAGAAGAAAUCAUCUGAGAUCAGCAGAUGACAUCAAGCUUCUUCAGUGCUUCUUUAUUGCAUCUUGAUUCAUCAGAAUAUUGACUGAAAGGUUCUUGAGAUUGUCCAGGAUAGGAGGUUCUCUCGAAGAUUUGCUUCCAAAAUAAAUAAUCCGAUUUUAUGAAGUAUUUCAUGCACAAGACACAGAGAUGAGACAAAUCACAUGUCAUGAUGAUCUGUGGAACAUCUCUACACAUACUGAUCUCAGAUGAUCUGUAUCGUCACAUGUCGAUGACAAACAUUUCAUCUCUCCGACAUUUAAAGAAGUCAAGUGUAAAGCUGAGUCUCAGUUCAUCUGUUCUACAUGUUCUUAUGUCUUGUUCUUGUUUGAGGUUGUGAACAUUAUGAAAUGGUUCAGGUAACGUUUGUCCACAGUUAUUUGAUAAGUACAUGUUUGUUUUGUGCUGAGGUAUGAAAGUUUAACCAGACGUCUGGGCCCAUAUUCUUAAAACUUCUAAGAAUCCUCUAAGAAAGCUCUUAAUUUAGCUUAAAAAUUCUUAUCUCAUAAACCAAAAAUGGACAAAUCUGAGAUCAACUCAGCAA